GAUGAAAACGCAGCGAAAUGCGAUAAGUAAUGUGAAUUGCAGAAUUCAGUGAAUCAUCGAAUCUUUGAACGCACAUUGCGCCCGCCAGUAUUCUGGCGGGCAUGCCUGUCCGAGCGUCAUUUCAACCCUCGAACCCCUCCGGGGGGUCGGCGUUGGGGACCUCGGGAGCCCCUAAGACGGGAUCCCGGCCCCGAAAUACAGUGGCGGUCUCGCCGCAGCCUCUCCUGCGCAGUAGUUUGCACAACACGCACCGGGAGCGCGGCGCGUCCACGUCCGUAAAACACCCAACUUCUGAAAUGUUGACCUCGGAUCAGGUAGGAAUACCCGCUGAACUUAAGCAUAUCAAUAAGCGGAGGA
rnacentral:misc_RNA from 1 species